GUCUUAUUGAUUAUAAUUUUAAGUCUAAUCUGCCCAGUGAAAUUAUUAAAUGGCUGCAGUAUUUUAACUGUACAAAGGUAGCAUAAUAAUUAGUUUCUUAAUUAGGAACUGGAAUGAAUGAUUGAACGAGAUAAUAACUGUCUUAAUUUAAAUUUAAGAAUUUUAUUUUUAAGUUAAAAAGCUUAAAUAAUUUUAAAAGACGAGAAGACCCUAUAGAAUUUUAUAUAAUUUAAUAAUUUAAAUUAUAGAAUUUUAAUUUUGAAUUUUUAAUAAAAUAUUUAAUUGGGGUGAUUGAAAAAUUUAUAUAACUUUUUUUAAUUAAAUAAGUACAUUUAUAUAUGAAUGUUUGAUCCAUAUUUUUUGAUUAUAAGAUUAAAUUACCUUAGGGAUAACAGCGUAAUUUUUUUGGAGAGUUCUUAUCGAUAAAAGAGAUUGCGACCUCGAUGUUGGAUUAAAGUUAAUUUUUAAUGAAGAAGUUAAAAUUAUUAGGUCUGUUCGACCUUUAAAACUUUACAUGAUCUGAGUUUAAAUCGGCGUGAGCCAGGUUGGAUUCUAUCUUUAAUUAUUUUUAAUAUUUUAGUACGAAAGGACCAGAUAUUAGUUAUAAUAAUUUUUAUAGGAUAAUA
rnacentral:rRNA from 1 species